rnacentral:lncRNA from 1 species
GUAGAUAUGCCGACAUAGCGAAUUUACUUAACCAAAAGAGAAUGUAGACAUAUCCUACGUUCGUUACAAGUAUUUCCAUAAUUCAACUGAAACGUAACUGAAACAACUAUCUGAGAUGUGGGAAAAUCAAAUAGCAACGCUUUUAUAUAGUUUUAGGUAAGACUGAAAAUCAGAUUUUUCCUUUCUACAUACAAGACAGUUUGUCUUUGCAACUCAAGCAGUCUUUGGAAAUUUUUUCGUCUCUUUAAACUUGUUGGACAUGAUUAUUUGUAAGUUCUUUGUAUAUGUGCAUUUAGCUUCUUACAGCUUUCUUGAGGUGAUUUCUAGGAUUUUUUCAUUUCUAGUUGACAUUUGAUACUACCACAAUCUUAAGUACCUUGAGAUAUCUUCACUGAUCAUUUUCCUUUGUUAUGUAGAAGGGUGUCCAUAUUGGUAACUAAGUUUUGUCAGUUGGUUUCAUCUAAUAAAUUGAUUGAUCUCUCACUUCUUAAGUCCUAUCAUGUUCUAUGAUUAAUUUCAGAGAGCUAUCUUUGACCAACUUAUUAGUUGAAAUUCAAUGUUUUGUUUAAAUAGAUUUAACAAAUUUACAUGAUUAGAUAAUAUUUUUUGCUAAAAAUAAAGCCUCUUUCAUCUACGAUCUUUUGAUUUCUUGUCGAACCUCAACUCUUUUCAAAUGCAAAAAAUGGGGAGACACUGUAUUUAGUACUGAGGCAGCCUCAAUCACAAUUUUCAUCUAGUAGCAGCACUGGACAAGCUAGUACUAAUAGUAUUAACAGAGGUACAGGUUUUGUGGUCUGAAAUUUAGGGUUUCAUGUCAUUUGGUUGAUUUUGUUAGUCAGACGGAUAAUAAUCAAUUUUAUUAUCUUCGAGUAUCACAGGUCAAGAGCCACAACCCACUGCUGGAGGCUCACGGAAUCAUAUCAGACAGAUUUUACAUUGUUGUCCUAGAAACUUUUAAACUCAGUUGUUAGUAAGAGUCUUUUUCAAGUUUUACCAAAGAAGGGAGGAAAAAGAAAGUGCACAGUAGACUGUGUACACAGGAUGUGGUAGUUGCAGUAGUUACCU